UGGGGAAUUUUGGACAAUGGGGGAAACCCUGAUCCAGCCAUGCCGCGUGUGUGAAGAAGGCCUUCGGGUUGUAAAGCACUUUCGGACGGAACGAAAUCGGCGAGGUGAAUAUCCUCGCUGGAUGACGGUACCGUAAGAAGAAGCACCGGCUAACUACGUGCCAGCAGCCGCGGUAAUACGUAGGGUGCGAGCGUUAAUCGGAAUUACUGGGCGUAAAGUGUGCGCAGGCGGCGUUGCAAGUCGAGUGUGAAAGCCCCGGGCUUAACUUGGGAAUUGCGCUCGAAACUACGAUGCUGGAGUAUGGCAGAGGAAGGUGGAAUUCCACGUGUAGCGGUGAAAUGCGUAGAGAUGUGGAGGAACACCGAUGGCGAAGGCAGCCUUCUGGGCCAAUACUGACGCUCAUGCACGAAAGCGUGGGGAGCAAACAG
rnacentral:rRNA from 1 species